rnacentral:rRNA from 1 species
AUUGCACAAUUGGAGAAACCCUGAUGCAGCGACGCCUCCUUUGUGAAGAACUAUUUCGGUAUGUAAAGCUCUACCGGCAGGGCCUAUAAUGACGGUCUCUUACUACGAAGCCCCCGCUAUCUACGUGUCUGUCGCCGCGGUAAUACUUAGGGGGCUAGCGUUGUCCGGAUUUACUGGGCGUAAAGGGUGAGUAGGCGGUAACGUGUGUCAGAUGUUUAAUCUAUGGGCUAAACCCAUAUCAGCAUUUGAAACUACGUAACUUGAGUGCAGGAGAGGUAAGUGGAAUUCCUAGUGUAGCGGUGGAAUGCGUAGAUAUUAGGAGGAACACCAGUGGCGAAGGCGACUUACUGGACUGCAACUGACACUGAGGCAUGAAAGCGUGGGUAGCAAACAGG